UACAAGGAAGAAGGUCUCAAGGUCAUAUAUUCCUCGUUUCAGUUUCACUCUCUCCUUUUCCUUUAUCCGUUGUAUCCAAACACGGCCAAACAAACAAACACAUAAAAGGAACCCAAAAAAACAAAAAGAAAUAUCUAGCGUAGAUUCCUCCCUUUCGCCAUUCUCUUCUCCCUCACACCAUGAUUAUCCCUGCAACCUGCUAAAGCAAAACACCGAAAACGAAAACAAAAACCAAACAAUCCCUAAACUCCUUCCCAUGGCUCACCACCAACUCAUCGACACCCUCACCUCUCACAUCUCACUCUACCAUUCCCAAUCCCCAAACCCUAACCCCAACCCUAACCCUAACCCUCGAUCAUCCAUUUUGAAAUGGUUUUCUUCUCUUUCCAUUCACCACCGCCAGGCUCAUUUAACAAUCGUGGAUGCGAAUUUCGUUCAGAUCCUUCUCCAGAUGCUCGCGAAGCUCCGAUCUCACGGCCACGGCUCCUUCAUCCUCCUCCCUGAUCUGCCCUCGCGCGACAACCUCCCCACCCUCUGCUUCAAGAAGUCCCGCGGCCUCCUCGCCCGCGUCGCUGACUCGGACGCCGCUGGGCGGGCCGUCUUCGAGUCCUCCCGCCUGUUUGACUCGCGCGAGGGCGAGGAGGCCGCCAUUGCCACGCUGCCCUCGGCCAGGCGGCUCGACGCGCUGGCGCUUGCCGAGGGCUUCGUCGGGGACGUGGACAGGUACGUAGAGGCCAUGGACCGGAUUUCCGGCGGUGGGUUCCUCCGCGGGGAGGAGGCCGAGCUCGGCGAGGACUGGGUGGAGUUGCAUUGGCUGAAAUCGAAGGGAUACUAUGGAAUUGAGGCGUUUAUUGCGAAUAGGAUCGAGGUUUCAAUGAGGUUGGCGUGGUUGAAUUGCUGUGGAGGGAGGAAAAGGGGUGUGAAAUUGAAGGAGAAGAUGGGUGCUGCGGGUGUUGGGGUGAAUGUGUUUUGGAGGAAGAAGGGGUGUGUGGAUUGGUGGGGGAAUUUGGAUGCUGGGACCAGGAGGAAGGUCAUUUCCACCUUCCUCAUGAAAGCUGCAAAACCCUUGACUCAUGAUGUUUUGGAAGUGGCAAGUAGUUCCUCUGAAGAUGAGAUUUGGCUAUACAGUAUGGGAGUGGAUAAAUUACUGCAAAGCAAUCAUCCUGUGCCAUCUAAACGUAGCAUUUCCGCUCUUCCUGCCGAUAUGGAAUUUGGAACAGUUAUUUCGUCAGUCACUUUUUGUAAAAAACCUGCUGCUUUAGCCAGAGCCUUUAAUUCUUUAUUAGUACUUCAUGAUGUUAAUAUGAUGGUUACAUCAAGUCUUAAUAGUGAAUAUGACAUAGAAAACCUUUUCUUUAGUUCGUUGGGUUCUGUCUGUACGAUAUCUGAUUGUAUAUUAAGAAAAAUGCGGGGAUUUCUGAUGGUUAUUUCACUUGACUGCACAAAACUUGAACUAUUAGGAGAGGAACAUGACAAGUCUUCAUCAGGUAAACCUAAAGAAAAGCCUAGUGUUUCUAACCGUAAAAAGAAGGGACGAAAUCGCAAUAAUAAAAGGCAAAAUCCUGUCUCUAAGACUUGUGUGGAUGAUAUUUCACAUGAAAAUCCACUGAAGGACAUUGAUUGUAAAGUGGAUAAUAAAAAGAAGACUGAUUUAGUGGCAUCCAGUGAACUUCCUGCUGUUCAUAUGGGGAAGGAGAUUUCUAUGGAGUUCCCAUCAUCAACUGUAAAAAUGGAUCAUACUCAAGGAUUGGAUAUUGGCAAAAUAAAAGUACGGACCACUUCAAGAAGUAGAAAAGAGAAAAAUAAAAGUAAAAAUAUUCUCAUCAGUGCAGGUGGAGAUUCUCAAAAGUCAAGUAUCCAUGCUGCCUCUACCACAGUUAUUUCUGAAGGUGAGGUGGCAAUAUGUGAUAGGUUUUUGAAUAGUUCUACCAUUCAGAAUGUCAAAAAUGACAAUGCAAUUGGUAAUGACAUCCUUGCUUCAAAUUCAAGCCUUUGUAGUUCUCUUAGUGGGCUUAGUAGGGAGAACAGUUCUACCAGGAAAGUUGAAGGAAAGACUGAAGAUCUUGCUGAAAGUGGCAAUAGUUUAGGUCCUCAGUGUUGUUUAUUGUCAGAUGAAAGGAAAACUUUAUGUUCUGGAUUAGAUACUUUAACUUGUGACAUAGAUUGUACUGCUGCUACAACUCCUCCUGUACCUGCGGUGAAACAAGGUAGUUUCUUCAGCAAGGAAGAUACCUGUCCUUUGAACUCAUCAUGUGCUGCCAAAGCUGAUUUAAAGACCACUGUUCCUGACAAACCAAUUAGAGAGGUUAAUGCAAAAGAAUUUGGGUUGUUGAAGGAGCGUGAUAGAUGUCUAUUUGAAAGUAGAAAUUCAGCUUUCUCAAAGUGCAGUCCAUAUGAGUGGCCUGGCUUACCUUCUAUCUAUUUUCCAUCUUUUAACUCACAUCUCCCUCCUGCCACAGAUAGAUUACAUCUGGAUGUUGGGCACAAUUGGCAUAAUCACUUCUGCCACCCAUUUGUUCCCACAUUACAGCAGGCAAGAAAUCCUCCUAUUGAAGGUGGGUGCAACCCAAUCCUGUCUCGUCCUAUUCCUAUGAGUUUUGACUGGCCCCCAGUUUUUCGUGGUGGCAUGACCCCAUCACCAAACUAUAACUAUGACUCUGGUUUUAUAUCUAGGAAGCAAUGUACCUUUUCAAAAGGAUUGGCUGUUCACAACAUGCAGGUUGAUGCAACUGCUCCUGAUGAUGAAAGAAAAUAUUCCGGGGAUGUAUGGGAUUUACCUGAUCUGACAAAUACAUUGGAGCUAGCUGAUGAAUUUGACAAUCACUGUGUAUCUGAGGAAGAGUAUGAGGUUCAUACUGUUUCUGGUAUAGAUUAUAAUCAAUAUUUUGGUGGCGGUGUAAUGUACUGGAACCCUUCUGACUAUCCAGGGAAAGGUUUCUCCCGGCCUCCCUCGCUUAGCUCUGAUGACAGUCUAUGGGCUUUGCGUGAUGCUGACAUGAAUAGGACGGUGGAUGAUAUGGUUGCUUUCUCUUCUUCGUAUAGUACGAAUGGUUUAACAUCACCCACUGCUGCUACAUUUUGUUCUCCUUUCGAUCCUGUAGGAACUGCUACCCAGACUAUUGGUUAUGUGAUGUCAGGUAAUGAAGUACCUGGAAAGAUGCUGCAUUCUUCUUCAGUUACAGAUGCAGCAGUGGAUGAAGAUACUUCUGGUUCUUUGGGUAAUAAUUUGCCUGGAGAAGUUGAAGGAAAGGCAGGUGAUUCACAUCCAUAUCCUAUUCUACGGCCAAUAAUUAUUCCUAACUUGUCAAGGGAAAGGUUUGAUCAUAAAAGUCCCUGUGUUCCUCCCUCCAGGCGGGAGCAGCCUCGUAUAAAGCGGCCACCAUCGCCUGUAGUGCUUUGUGUUCCACGUGCACCUCGUCCACCCCCACCAUCCCCUGUGAGUGACUCCAGGAAACACAGGGGUUUUCCCACUGUUAGAUCUGGUAGUUCCAGCCCUAGGCACUGGGGAAUGCGAGGCUGGUAUCAUGAUGGGAGUAAUUUUGAGGAAGCAUGUUUAAGAAUGGAUGGUGCUGAAGUUGUGUGGCCUUGGAGAAGUAAUAAUCUUGCGGUGCGACCUUUGAUUCAGCCUUUACCUGCUGCCUUGCUGCAGGACCGCCUGAUUGCAUUGUCACAGAUAGCACGUGACCAGGAACACCCAGAUGUCACCUUCCCCUUGCAACCUCCAGACUUACAAAGCUGUUCUGCACAGAGUGCAUCUUUAACUUUGAUGCAUGGCAUUCUACAUGAUGAGAUUGACUCUUUCUGUAAACAGGUUGCUGCAGAAAAUAUGGCCAGGAGGCCUUACAUUAAUUGGGCUGUCAAGAGAGUUACACGAUUUCUGCAGGUUCUGUGGCCCAGAUCCCGUACAAACAUAUUUGGUUCCAAUGCAACUGGUAUGUCCCUUCCAACAAGUGAUGUUGACCUUGUGGUUGGUCUCCCUCCAGUGAGAAACCUGGAACCUAUUAAAGAAGCUGGAAUACUGGAAGGUCGUAAUGGAAUUAAAGAAACGUGUCUUCAGCAUGCAGCUAGGUAUCUUGCCAAUCAGGAUUGGGUGAAAAAUGAUUCUCUGAAGACAGUGGAAAAUACAGCUAUUCCUAUUAUUAUGCUUGUGGUGGAAGUACCUCAGGAUGUUAUUACCUCUUUAGCUCCUAUGAUACAGUCGUUAAAUGAAGAGCCACAUUGUACUCCUGGAGAACAUGGUAAUGACAAUCAAUCUGAUAGCAUUCGGUUAGAAGAUUCGGCUUUGCCCAAAGGCUCCCAAAUGAAAUUUGAUGCCUUGAAAUCGAAAUCAGUUAGACUGGACAUCAGCUUCAAGUCCCCAUCACAUACUGGACUCCAGACUACAGAAAUGGUUAAGGAGUUGACAGCGCAAUUUCCUGCUGCUACACCUCUUGCUUUGGUACUAAAACAGUUUUUGGCUGAUCGGAGCCUUGAUCAGUCCUACUCUGGUGGCUUAAGUUCCUACUGUUUGGUCUUACUAAUUAUACGAUUUCUUCAGCAUGAGCACCAUCUUGGCCGGCCAAUCAACCAAAAUUAUGGAAGCCUUCUGAUGGAUUUUCUUUACUUUUUUGGGAAUGUGUUUGAUCCUCGCCAAAUGAGAAUAUCAGUUCAGGGAACUGGACUUUAUAUAAAAAGAGAAAGAGGUUGUAGCAUUGAUCCAAUUCACAUAGAUGAUCCUCUUUUUCCAACAAAUAAUGUGGGAAGGAAUUGCUUCCGAAUACAUCAAUGUAUUAAGGCAUUUUCAGAAGCUUACUCUGUUCUUGAAAAUGAACUCAAAUUCCUAAAUAGUGAUGGUGAGUCAUGUUCAAGGCCACCUGACAGACUGCUUCCAAAAAUCAUUCCAAGUCUUGAUAUAUCAUAAGAUCUCACUACAUGAAGACUGAAAUGUUAUUUUGUCUAAAGAAGUAGAAAUAACUGAACUAGAGGGAUAUGGAGGCCUUGCGCUAUGUUAUUUGCAAUUGGAGACUAUGGUUUUUGGUUGAGGCUCCAGCCAGCUUAUAAGACAUUGACUGUACCUGAAUCAGAGUAGUUAACAAUGGUUGGAGUGGUUGCUACUGCACUGUCACAGAAUGGAGCCUCCUUGCUCCCAAAGCUUGUUGCAGAGCAUUUAACUAUUGCGGAAGUGUUCCCCCUUCAUUCUCCUUAACCAAAAAUUUCGCCACUCAAGUUGGGGGUGGGGGGAAAUAAAUCAUGUUUUGGUUAUGGAAAAUGAUUCACACACACCCAAAAUUUCACACAUUUUACCGGUCGGCUGUGUUAACAUGACAUAUUUGCCCAUAGCCUGAUAACCUGACAAUACUAGAUAACCCAAGACUUCUACAUUACAUGUUAAAAAUUUGGAAAUUUGGGGAGUGCUUAUAAUCACACUCUUUGGUUAACUAUUAAGUUACAUGUAGACCAUGGACUUAGCUUCUCUGUAGUGUUGUUCUCACAAGAUGAGUAUGCCACCCACUGGCUGGCUGGGGUGAAUCUAAAGGCCUUGUUUUUUGCUACAACCAUGCGAACAAGAAGACUCUAUCCCUUUCCUUUUCUUUCAAUAGUACAGAGGAUAUGACUUCCACGGUGGAGCUUGAACUGGCGGCGGUAGCGGAGGUGGUUGGUUUUCAGAAGCCAUGGGAUAUGAUCAAUAUGCUCUAGAGACCAUAUUAGGUCUGCAGAGAAUAUAGAAAAUAAAGUUGUAUUGAUUUGUGAUAAAAUUACAAAGAUGAUGGAGUUGUUGACUUACAACCCAAAAUAUACUGCCAGGACUCCAAAGAUAAAAGUCAGUUAUAACUGCCUGAAAAUGAAAGUUAUAACUGACAAUGACAGAUACAAAAGAAAGAAAAUUAUAGUAAAUGACAUAAAACAAAAACAAGAAGAAUUAUAUCAGAGAGAUACUUGAGAAGGGUAUUCUGUUACAUCUUUGCACCUCACCUCACCUCACAUGCUGCCAUGGCUGUUCAGAUCAGAAAUGCAUUCCUUCCUGUUUCACACGACUGUUAGUUUGUACAACCAAAACAGAAAAGGCUGCCCUAUGAAUUUCUGUUUUCAAUCUUCCAAGUAGACUGCUCAUCCAAAAUUUGAAAGACACAACUGUCCUUUUUCUGGUUCCUGGCUUGUGCAAAGUUAUGCAUGUCAAAAUAUGGUCUGUUACUCUGGUCAUGCAGAGUAUACAUGGAGAGGAUCACUAACUGACGUCUGGCAUUGCAAAUGGGGGUGUGAAAGUUGGCAUCUAAUAUCUUUUUCAUGCUUUGAAAUCCAAGCUUUCAUGUAUUCAUUAGUUUUUUCAUAGUUACAUGGUGGCAAGAAAUGAGUUAAGGACUUUAUCCUAGAUGUUGUCGUACUGAUGGAGGAGUGGUUGAUCGGUUGGUCUUGAUCAUCUUGGUUGGUUCAAGCUACAUAGUGCUCAAUCACUGAUCCGGAGUUCUGUCAUACAUUGCUGAUGCAAAACU